rnacentral:rRNA from 1 species
UACGUAGGGUGCAAGCGUUGUCCGGAAUUAUUGGGCGUAAAGAGCUCGUAGGCGGUUUGUUGCGUCGGCUGUGAAAUCCCGAGGCUCAACCUCGGGCCUGCAGUGGGUACGGGCAGACUGGAGUGCGGUAGGGGAGACUGGAAUUCCUGGUGUAGCGGUGGAAUGCGCAGAUAUCAGGAGGAACACCGAUGGCGAAGGCAGAUCUCUGGGCCGUAACUGACGCUGAGGAGCGAAAGCGUGGGGAGCGAACAGG